rnacentral:rRNA from 1 species
UACGGGGGGGGCAAGCGUUGUUCGGAAUUACUGGGCGUAAAGGGCUUGUAGGUGGCCAACUAAGUCAGACGUGAAAUCCCUCGGCUUAACCGGGGAACUGCGUCUGAUACUGGAUGGCUAGAGAUUGGGAGAGGGAUGCGGAAUUCCAGGUGUAGCGGUGAAAUGCGUAGAUAUCUGGAGGAACACCGGUGGCGAAGGCGGCAUCCUGGACUGCAACUGACACUGAGGAACGAAAGCCAGGGGAGCAAACGGG